rnacentral:rRNA from 1 species
UGGGGAAUAUUGGACAAUGGGCGAAAGCCUGAUCCAGCCAUGCCGCGUGUGUGAAGAAGGUCUUCGGAUUGUAAAGCACUUUAAGUUGGGAGGAAGGGCAUUAACCUAAUACGUUAGUGUUUUGACGUUACCGACAGAAUAAGCACCGGCUAACUCUGUGCCAGCAGCCGCGGUAAUACAGAGGGGGCAAGCGUUAAUCGGAAUUACUGGGCGUAAAGCGCGCGUAGGUGGUUUGUUAAGUUGGAUGUGAAAGCCCCGGGCUCAACCUGGGAACUGCAUCAAAAACUGGCAAGCUAGAGUACGGUAGAGGGUGGUGGAAUUUCCUGUGUAGCGGUGAAAUGCGUAGAUAUAGGAAGGAACACCAGUGGCGAAGGCGACCACCUGGACUGAUACUGACACUGAGGUGCGAAAGCGUGGGGAGUAAACA